rnacentral:rRNA from 1 species
AACGAACGCUGGCGGCAUGCCUAACACAUGCAAGUCGAACGAGACCUUCGGGUCUAGUGGCGCACGGGUGCGUAACGCGUGGGAACCUGCCCUUAGGUUCGGAAUAACUCCCCGAAAGGGGUGCUAAUACCGGAUAAUGUCUCCGGACCAAAGAUUUAUCGCCUUUGGAUGGGCCCGCGUUGGAUUAGCUAGUUGGUAGGGUAAAAGACUACCAAGGCGACGAUCCAUAGCUGGUCUGAGAGGAUGAUCAGCCACACUGGGACUGAGACACGGCCCAGACUCCUACGGGAGGCAGCAGUGGGGAAUAUUGGAAAAUGGGCGAAAGCCUGAUCCAGCAAUGCCGCGUGAGUGAUGAAGGCCUUAGGGUUGUAAAGCUCUUUUACCCGGGAUGAUAAUGACAGUACCGGGAGAAUAAGCUCCGGCUAACUCCGUG